AUUGAACGCUGGCGGCAGGCUUAACACAUGCAAGUCGAGCGGGGUGAUGGUGCUUGCACUAUCACUUAGCGGCGGACGGGUGAGUAAUGCUUAGGAAUCUGCCUAUUAGUGGGGGACAACAUCUCGAAAGGGAUGCUAAUACCGCAUACGUCCCACGGGAGAAAGCAGGGGAUCGCUUGUGACCUUGCGCUAAUAGAUGAGCCUAAGUCGGAUUAGCUAGUUGGUGGGGUAAAGGCCUACCAAGGCGACGAUCUGUAGCGGGUCUGAGAGGAUGAUCCGCCACACUGGGACUGAGACACGGCCCAGACUCCUACGGGAGGCAGCAGUGGGGAAUAUUGGACAAUGGGGGGAACCCUGAUCCAGCCAUGCCGCGUGUGUGAAGAAGGCCUUAUGGUUGUAAAGCACUUUAGGCGAGGAGGAGGCUCUUUUGGUUAAUACCCAAGAUGAGUGGACGUUACCCGCAGAAUAAGCACCGGCUAACUCUGUGCCAGCCGCCGCGGUAA
rnacentral:rRNA from 1 species